GGGGAGAAACGGCGCAGCUGGGACUCUGUGCUGUGGCAGCCUAAGCGAACCUCUUCACGGGCUAAUGACAAUUGCAGGCAUUGUUGGGCUGUGUCCUAAGGUGAAUCAACAUAAAGAAAAGCCCUGGCUGCUCGUGCACUGAUAACUUCAUCUUUUCGGACAUCUGGGAACUACCGCCACAAUGUCUGGAAAAAAAAUGACUUCAAACUAAUGCAGCAGAGGCAAACCAUGGUUUGGCCAAAAAUGGAACAGAAUUUACAAGGGAAAAGGGAAGUUCCUGGAGUAAUAUGGUCAGAUGAGGAUGGAACUGGUGAAUGAGCAGAAGAGAAGGUUGGAAGAGUGCAGUGGUGAUGACAGCCCUCCGCUGCUCCUUCCCCAGAGGAAGGAGCUCCAAGUUUAUUCACCCCUCUUUUACCAUGAGGCAGAGGGAAAACAAUGACAAAUACACAGUAAACUUCGUUAUCAACAAACAGAAGUUGUUACCAAGGCAACAGAACAAGAGCAUCCCUGCAUCCAGCCAUCACAGUGUGAAGUGAGUUUCAGAUGAGGAGAUGCCUUGAGGGGCAAGGAGACCCUUCAGGAAAAAGCUGACCUGAUAAAGGAAUCAAGGAGCUGCCAUCCCAACUGAUGUCUUUUUUCCCUUUCUCAAUAAAGAGAAGAGCUUGCAAGAGCCCUGAAAGACAGACAGGCUGCGUAAACUACUUGGGAUUUCAAAGAGUCCUGUUCAAUUAAUCUGACUACAGAUAGACCAGAACGGUUCUACUUCUGGGUAUAGGCAGAGGUGAGACUUUGGGGUGAACAGAUACAAGGAAAGGGGACAGGGCAUUAAACACCUCUGAACUGCUGUGUACACUAUAAAUAGAAAUGAGAUCCUGUAUUUAUACAAUGCCUUUUGUCCAGAAACCUGCACUCACAGCACAGACAUCACCUGCCUAGGCUUCCAAACACCCCUGUGAGUUGAGGAUCAAGGACAGGGAUUAUUUUACAGAUGGGAAAACUGGCACUUAGAAGCAGUAUAUGUGCCAAGGCCCUUCAGAAGACAGCAGAACAGCCAGAAACAGGAUGCAGGUAAAAAUACCAACAAUAAAUUCUUUUUAUUUGUUCUUAACAUCUUCCCUGCUGGAUCAAGAUCUUUUUCACAAAAUGACAUUAAAGAGUCAAAGUCUUCCUUUCUCCUCAACAACAGGGAGCUUGCAUAAUCUGAAUGUGCUUGUUGCAGCCCCUGACACUAUGGAUGGAGGGGGAUCAAGGGUGGGCUUGUGGAUUACACUUAUCAAAUUGAAACACUCUAGGGAAGCAUUGUAGCUGCUCUUGAAUUCACCUUCUUGGUUUAAUGGAAGUACUUUUAGGAGAUUUAUUUUGAUACCUCUCAACCAUGUGGAUUCUUAAUCUGGGGACCUCAAUCAAUCAAACGAAUGUUUAUUGAUUGACUACCAUGUUCAGAUCUAGUGCUAUGAAAGAAUAAUAAAUAUUACCUAUGGUACUCACCUGAUAAAA
rnacentral:lncRNA from 1 species